UACGUAGGGUGCAAGCGUUAAUCGGAAUUACUGGGCGUAAAGCGUGCGCAGGCGGUUCGCUAAGACCGAUGUGAAAUCCCCGGGCUUAACCUGGGAACUGCAUUGGUGACUGGCGGGCUAGAGUAUGGCAGAGGGGGGUAGAAUUCCACGUGUAGCAGUGAAAUGCGUAGAGAUGUGGAGGAAUACCGAUGGCGAAGGCAGCCUCCUGGGCCAACACUGACGCUCAUGCACGAAAGCGUGGGGAGCAAACAGG
rnacentral:rRNA from 1 species